UACGGGGGGGGCAAGCGUUGUUCGGAAUUACUGGGCGUAAAGGGCGCGUAGGCGGCUGUACAAGUCAAAGGUGAAAUCCCUCGGCUCAACUGAGGAACUGCCUUUGAAACUGUACGGCUUGAGGCCGGGAGGGGGUAGCGGAAUUCCCAGUGUAGCGGUGAAAUGCGUAGAUACUGGGAGGAACACCAGUGGCGAAGGCGGCUACCUGGACCGGUUCUGACGCUGAGGCGCGAAAGCGUGGGUAGCAAACAGG
rnacentral:rRNA from 1 species